AAUCCCUCUCUCUGUUUAUCCUCUUUCUUUGUUUGUUUCAUGUUCAGCUUUCUUUGUAUCUCACAGCAAAUAAUCUGCUCCGUUUCGCUUUGUUCUUUCUGUCUGUCUCUGUUUCAUCUUGAGAUUUGUUCUUAUCUCAAUUUCACUGAUUUUCCUACUACUUUCGAUACCAUCGAUUAAUUGAUCGCCCCCGCACUUGUUUAUCACAAGUUAUACUGAAUACUUUUCUCCCCAGGUGGCCUGUUUUUCCCUUGCUCUUCUUCUUGCACUUCGGUGAAUUACUGUGGUUAGUGGUUAGAGCAGGCCGGAGAGAUUUCAGUAUAUAUUAAGAUUGCUCGAACUGCUGAUGUCGACCGAUAAAAAGCAUUUGGCAUCACCUUACUGCCCGCAAAAAAGGAAGCAAUACUCAGCAGAAACAGUCUCUAAAAUUAAUUGUAGGAGACGUGAUAUGUACAAGCAGUUACCAGUUGAUAAAAGAGACUUUCUUUUAACGCAACGCCGGUCAAAAAAGCUUGAACUAAAAAAGGGUCAAACCGCACUGCUUGAAUAUACCAAACAAGCUGCUGGAUUUGAAUUACCUACACAAAAAAACUCUGACGAUAGUUGAGCGACCAUCUGUUACUGCCACAGACGGUAUAUCUUCGGUUGCUGGGCCAGUAGCUGGUUGUGACAAAGGAAAAAGUAUUACUGACCACUUCUCCGUUUUUGAACAUGGCUCCAGCUCUGGUGCACCCUAUGAACAACACCAUGUAGAGACAUCUAUCGUCGCAAACAAAGAAACUAUCACAUCUUCGAAAAUGGCAAAUGAAGCGAAGGAAGAAUAUUUCGAAAGAAACAUCAUUGUGAGCGACGAAGAUUUAUUGUUGCAUAGAAAAUUGAAUACAGAACAGAAAAUGGCAUACGGCGUAAUCCUUCAGAGAGUAUUUGCUAACAAAUUAUGAGCAUUUUUUAUUGAUGGUCCUGGAAGAAGUGGUAAGGCAUUCUUAUAUUGUGCCUUAUUAGCAACUGUGAGAUUUAAAGGAUUUGUAGCAUUAGCAACAACAACUUCUGAAGUUGCAGCUUCGAUCCUUCCAGGAGGACGAACAGUUCAUUCACGUUUUAAAUUUUCAAUUAAUAUUGAUAAAAAGUUUUCUUGCAAUAUCAGCAAGCAAAGCUCACUGGCGUCUUUGAUUCGCGAUGCAAAAUUAAUUGUGUGGGAUGAAGUAUCCAUGGCCAAGAAAAAUAUGAUUGAAGCUUUAGAUUUUCUUUUGAAAGAUAUAAUGGACACAAAUGUAUUUUUUGGUGGAAAAGUUGUGUUUGGAGGAGAUUUUAGACAAACUCUUCUUGUGGUUCGAAGUGGAAAAAGGAAGACUUCAUUCGGAAAAGCAUAUUAAACUCCGAAAUAUGGAAUGAGCUUGAAAAACUUCGAUUAUUAGAGAAUAUGCGUGCGAAAAUUGAUCCCUCUUUCUGUGAAUAUUUGAUGCGGAUUGCAAAUGGAAAAGAAAAGACAAACAUGGAUGGUAAAAUAGAAAUUCCGAGGUCUUUUAUUUUUCCUUAUGUUACUGAAAAAGAAUCGCUGGAUC